CAAUAGCAUAUAUGAAUGUUGUUGCAGUUAAAACGCUCGUAGUCGAUAACGUCAGCUACACUAGUUCAAUCUGGUGAUUGGCAGGACCAAGUAUCACAACGUAAGAGGGCUCCUAGAGUCUUGGUUGACAGAUGAAUUUUUCAUUUCAAAGAUUCAGAGUCAUUACCUUGAAUGAAACAGAGUUCUCAAAGCAGUGCUUUUGCACAGUGAAUGAUCAAGCAUGGGAUAAUACAUACCACUAUAUGUGUUGGUACUAUUCACCAAUUCUACAAGUGAUUAAUAGGAACAGUUGAGGGUUCUAGUACUGAAUGGCGAGAGGUGAAAUUCUUAGACCCAUUCAAGACUACCUAAGGCGAAAGCAUUUACCAAGGAUGUUUUCUUUGA
rnacentral:rRNA from 1 species